rnacentral:lncRNA from 1 species
CCGCAUCUUGUCCUCAAUAGGGGUCACACCCACAUUGUCGCGAAUAACCUCAUUUAUAAUCCUAUCUAACCUGGUAUGCACGCACAUCCAUUUCAACAUCUGCAUCUCUGCAACCUUUUUCUUUUGGACAUAAGCGAUCUUGACUGGCCAACACUCAAUCCCGGACUGGCCAACUCGCGUCGUAGGUCUGACCACCACUUUGUAGAACUUACCCUUAAGUUUCGAUGGCAUCUUCUUGUCACACAAAAUACUGGACGUGAGUCUCCACUUUC